rnacentral:rRNA from 1 species
GAUGAACGCUCGCGGCAGGCCUAAUACAUGCAAGUCGAACGGGAUCCAGAUCAAAGCUUGCUUUGGUCUGGUGGGAGUGGCGCACGGGUGCGUAACGCGUGAGCAACCUACCCUUGUCAGGGGGAUAGCCCGGCGAAAGUCGGAUUAAUACCGCAUGACAUCAUUGAGAGGCAUCUUUCGAUGAUCAAAGAUUUAUCGGACAAGGAUGGGCUCGCGUGACAUUAGCUAGUUGGUAAGGUAACGGCUUACCAAGCCUGCGAUGUCUAGGGGCUCUGAGAGGAGAAGCCCCCACACUGGUACUGAGACACGGACCAGACGCCUACGGGAGGCAGCAGUAAGGAAGAUUGGUCAAUGGACGGAAGUCUGAACCAGCCAAGCCGCGUGCAGGAGGACGGCCCGAUGGGUUGUAAACUGCUUUUAUACGGGAACAAACGUCGGUACGUGUACCGGUCUGAGUGUACCGGAAGAAUAAGGAUCGGCUAACUCCGUG